CAUGGCUCAGAUUGAACGCUGGCGGCAUGCCUUACACAUGCAAGUCGAACGGCAGCACGGGAGCUUGCUCCUGGUGGCGAGUGGCGAACGGGUGAGUAAUACAUCGGAACGUACCCUGAAGUGGGGGAUAACGUAGCGAAAGUUACGCUAAUACCGCAUAUUCUGUGAGCAGGAAAGAGGGGGAUCGCAAGACCUCUUGCUUUAGGAGCGGCCGAUGUCGGAUUAGCUAGUUGGUGAGGUAAAGGCUCACCAAGGCGACGAUCCGUAGCGGGUCUGAGAGGAUGAUCCGCCACACUGGGACUGAGACACGGCCCAGACUCCUACGGGAGGCAGCAGUGGGAAUUUUGGACAAUGGGCGCAAGCCUGAUCCAGCCAUGCCGCGUGAGUGAAGAAGGCCUUCGGGUUGUAAAGCUUCUUUCGGUGGGGAAGAAAUUGCUUCGGUUAAUACCUGGAGUAGAUGACGGUACCCGCAUAAGAAGCACCGGCUAACUACGUG
rnacentral:rRNA from 1 species